rnacentral:rRNA from 1 species
GGACGAACGCUGGCGGCGUGCUUAACACAUGCAAGUUGAACGGGCGAUAUUGGAAGCUUGCUGAAGAUAUCGUUAGUAGCGGACGGGUGAGUAAUGCAUGAGGACCUGCCUGCCGGAGGGGGACAACAGUUGGAAACGGCUGCUAAUACCCCGUACGCCGAGAGGUGAAAGGAAUGGAGACAUUCCGCCGGGAGAGGGACUCAUGUCCUAUCAGCUGGUUGGUGAGGUAACGGCUCACCAAGGCGACGACGGGUAGCCGGCCUGAGAGGGCGACCGGCCACACUGGAACUGAGAGACGGUCCAGACUCCUACGGGAGGCAGCAGUGGGGAAUAUUGGGCAAUGGGGGCAACCCUGACCCAGCGACGCCGCGUGAGGGAAGAAGGCCUUCGGGUCGUAAACCGCUUUUGUACGUGAAGAAGCAGAUGACGGUAGCGUACGAAUAAGUCCCGGCUAACUACGUGCCAGCAGCCGCGGUAAUACGUAGGGGACGAGCGUUGUCCGGAAUUACUGGGCGUAAAGGGCGCGCAGGCUGCGCGUCGAGUCGGCUGUUAAAGAUCCGGGCUUAACCCGGUGAAGCGGUCGAGACCGACGAGCUGGAGUGCUGCAGAGGCAAGUGGAAUUCCCGGUGUAGCGGUGAAAUGCGUAGAUAUCGGGAAGAACACCGGUGGCGAAGGCGACUUGCUGGGCAGCAACUGACGCUGAGGCGCGAAAGCCAGGGGAGCAAACGGGAUUAGAUACCCCGGUAGUCCUGGCCGUAAACGAUGAAUGCUAGGUGUGCGUGUAGAGAUACAUACGUGCCGGAGUUAACGCGAUAAGCAUUCCGCCUGGGGAGUACGGUCGCAAGAUUGAAACUCAAAGGAAUUGACGGGGGCCCGCACAAGCGGUGGAGCACGUGGUUUAAUUCGAUGCAAACCGAAGAACCUUACCUGGGUUUGACAUGUACGUGGUACGGAUAUGAAAGUUGAAGGACGCUUCCUUCGGGAGGCGAGCGUACACAGGUGCUGCAUGGCUGUCGUCAGCUCGUGUCGUGAGAUGUUCGGUUAAGUCCGGCAACGAGCGCAACCCACACUUUCAGUUGCCAUCAUUCAGUUGGGCACUCUGGAAGAACUGCCGGUGAUAAGCCGGAGGAAGGUGUGGAUGACGUCAAGUCCUCAUGGCCCUUACGGGUUGGGCUACACACGUGCUACAAUGGUGGUGACAAUGGGUUAAUCCCCAAAAGCCAUCUCAGUUCGGAUUGGGGUCUGCAACUCGACCCCAUGAAGUCGGAAUCGCUAGUAAUCGCGUAACAGCAUGACGCGGUGAAUACGUUCCCGGGCCU